rnacentral:rRNA from 1 species
UACGUAGGGUGCAAGCGUUGUCCGGAAUUAUUGGGCGUAAAGAGCUCGUAGGCGGCCUGUCGCGUCGACUGUGAAAACCCAGGGCUCAACCCUGGGCCUGCAGUCGAUACGGGCAGGCUAGAGUGCAGUAGGGGAGACUGGAAUUCCUGGUGUAGCGGUGAAAUGCGUAGAUAUCUGGAGGAAUACCGGUGGCGAAGGCGGCAUCCUGGACCGGCAUUGACGCUGAGGAGCGAAAGCCAGGGGAGCAAACAGG